UAAAACAGUGUAUAAAAAAAAUUUCAAUGAGCUUGUGGUAACGAUCGUAUGAAGCGAUGUACUAGAGUAGUGAUGCCUCAACGAGGCUUAACUCAUUAACUAGACUACUAUCCGAGUAGAGUACUUUGCUUAAGAAUUAUAUGAGACCGUUGGAGCUUAACUGAAGUAAUAGCCCCAAAGUCCAGGUGCUUAUAUCAGCAUGCCCGCACAAAGGGACGGGGUGGGCCACGGGCUGGUUGCUUGCGAGGCAGGUGUUCGCCGCAAACAACAUCAUGCCAUCAGAAAAGACAGCUGCAUUUAAAUCUGGUGGGUGAUUAUAUUGGAUGUACAGGUAUAUUUAUGUGCGUUGUAUGGAGCACGCUCGAGUAGAUUCUUUCAGGCUGCUUUAUACAGGUAUUAUGUAGUUGUAGCCACGCGCCAGCCUCCGAGUCAUCGUCGCGAAACUCGUGCCUGUGGGCACUAAAUCGCCGGAUCCUCAGAUACGGAUGAAGCAAGAGUAUGAGUUUUAUUUGAGGAUGAAAGAUUUCGUGUGCCAGCCUUAAGGGAUGAGAUAAUAAAUAUUAAAUACAGCAGAUGGUUAGCAGCGACUUUAGACAUUGUUUCCAAUUCUGUCUACAUCCGAAAUCUUUUAUAUAGACCCAUCGGGCCAUUAAUUUAAUGAAUUUUGCAACUGUAUCCAGUCGGCUUUUAGCUUAAUUUCUAGUCUUGGUAUUAAUCUGUCUAUAGAAAACGGAAAUUAUAUACAGAAAAUUAUAAUAAAAAGUAUAUUUAUUAUGAUAAUAA